rnacentral:lncRNA from 1 species
GGGAAAGAAGGGACAUCUGGUGGAAUGAACUACGUGGUUAAAUCCUUUUUGAAUCAUCUUUUCUGACAACGGGGUGGAAGAGUAACUAGUUGACCACAGAGCUCUCUCUGUUCACAGUGAGAAACAUGCUUUGCCUUGGAGGGAGUCCAUCAGCUAAUAUUAACACAGAGAAGGCGAAAGUGCAGGUUGACAGGAAAGCCUGGCUCUCCCCUGACUCAAUUCAGGAGAUCAUUAAGGACGAAGUCUUGCUGUAAAGUACACCUCUCUUCCUCCGAUGACAGUGACAACCAGGGCGCUGAAUCAGGGGCAGCCUGCUCUCCUUUGACAAACACCCACCCACUUUGGUAUGGAAUCUCGGCGUAGGCAAGCAAAUGGCUAGUUAGUACCACCGGAUCUCUGUUUUGAAUGCUGGAUUCUAUUAUUCCCAUCAUGGUCUUCCUGGGGCAGUCACAUGCUGCCUACAACAUCUUGCGCUUCUAAAGCUCAUCAUCUCAUUCCAUCCUUAAACGUAUUUCCACAUCAUCACCUCCCAUUAUUGUGCUGGUGAGCACUCCUGGAUUCCUGUGAGCAUCCUGGGGGAAGGAUGCCUCUCCUUCAGUGUACUGAUGUCAGCUCUGUUUCCCCUCCUGUUCUAACAGCUGUGCCUUCCCCUAGCCUGACUCCAAACUUCAGUUUGAGAAGUGUUUCCAUGAUGUUAGAGACACACCAGUGCUAGGCAAUUGCUCUGCCUCUGAAGUAUGCCACUCAAGUAAACUUGUAAAGAUGCUGCAAACAGAGGAAGAUACCAAACAAAUUGUGACAGCCACAGGAAAUGAUUCUACAGGAGAGACAGCAUCACACCUACUUGCAAAGAUAAAGCAAAUAUGGAGAAAGGAAUGAAUAAUAGAAUGGUGAACACAGAUAUACUCUGAACAAUCAGACAGACCAUCUUCUGCCUCAUUCAAUGCUUCUUUCUUCUAGAAACAGUUUUUAGACUUUGUAUGGACUUUUGCUCCUAACAUCAGUGGACAAUGGGUUUACAUAUCAGCAAACCCUCUUCAUGUGUAACAAGAUAAAGCUGGACAGAGAAAAUCAACUGCAUUUCUUAGGCCCCUCAGAAGAUUCAUAUAGACUGUGAAUUUCCUUCCACAGACACAAUCCAAGUCUAAAGUACCAAGUGUAGAAACUGCUUACCCAGAGCAGACACCUGGGAACAGCAGCUGCUAGGAAUGUUGGAAUGUUCCUGUUAGUGAAUUGCUGUUAAGCUCAUCUCACAUUGGUUUGGUAUAGAAGGGAAAAGGUAAGAAUCGAGUCUUGGAGGACCACACACCUUUUGAGGUUUCUUUAAAGAAUUCUCACCAAGUUCUCACCAAAGAUACCAGGUACCAAAGUUAAAUCAGGAUCAAGUUAACAAUCUAAACAGUCCCAUAUCCCCUAAGGAAAUAGAAGCAGUCAUUAAUAGUCUCCCAA